rnacentral:rRNA from 1 species
AGUGAACGCUGGCGGUAGGCCUAACACAUGCAAGUCGAACGGCAGCACAGGAGAGCUUGCUCUCUGGGUGGCGAGUAGCGGACGGGUGAGGAAUACAUCGGAAUCUACUCUGUCGUGGGGAUAACGUAGGGAAACUUACGCUAAUACCGCAUACGACCUACGGGUGAAAGCAGGGGACCUUCGGGCCUUGCGCGAUUGAAUGAGCCGAUGUCGGAUUAGCUAGUUGGCGGGGUAAAGGCCCACCAAGGCGACGAUCCGUAGCUGGUCUGAGAGGAUGAUCAGCCACACUGGAACUGAGACACGGUCCAGACUCCUACGGGAGGCAGCAGUGGGGAAUAUUGGACAAUGGGCGCAAGCCUGACCCAGCCAUACCGCGUGGGUGAAGAAGGCCUUCGGGUUGUAAAGCCCUUUUGUUGGGAAAGAAAUCCAGCUGGCUAAUACCCGGUUGGGAUGACGGUACCCAAAGAAUAAGCACCGGCUAACUUCGUGCCAGCCGCCGCCGUAA